UACGUAGGGCGCAAGCGUUGUCCGGAAUUACUGGGCGUAAAGAGCUCGUAGGUGGCGUGUCGCGUCUGCCGUGAAAGCCCAUGGCUUAACUGUGGGCGUGCGGUCGAUACGGGCAUCACUGGAGUUCGGCAGGGGAGACUGGAAUUCCUGGUGUAGCGGUGAAAUGCGCAGAUAUCAGGAGGAACACCGGUGGCGAAGGCGGGUCUCUGGGCCGAUACUGACGCUGAGGAGCGAAAGCGUGGGGAGCAAACAGG
rnacentral:rRNA from 1 species